AUUUUCUUAGUAUAGUAGUACAAGUGACUUCCAAUCAUUAGGCCUUGAUUAAAACUCAGGAGAAAGUA
rnacentral:tRNA from 1 species